GGACGAUGAGAUCACUCGGAGUGAGAACAACCCCUUCAACAUCAAUCUUGCUCAAAAUCUUCUUGGGCAACACAUUCAAGGAAGAGCCAGUAUCAACCAACACAUGCGACAGCACUGCGCCUUUGCACUUCAUGGUGAUAUGCAGGGCUUUGUUAUGGUUACAACCUUCAGGUGUCAGAUCCAAGUUUGUGAACCCCAAACCAUGUCGUGUGCUCACAUUUGCAAUAACCCCCUCCAAC
rnacentral:lncRNA from 1 species